CCCUUAGAUGUUCUGGGCCGCACGCGCGCUACACUGACGAAUGCAACGAGCUUAUAACCUUGGCCGAAAGGUCUGGGUAAUCUCCAAAUUUCGUCGUGAUGGGGAUAGAUUAUUGCAAUUAUUAAUCUUCAACGAGGAAUGCCUAGUAAGCGCAAGUCAUCAGCUUGCGUUGAUUACGUCCCUGCCCUUUGUACACACCGCCCGUCGCUCCUACCGAUUGAAUGGUCCGGUGAAGCGUUCGGACCGUGGCCUUUGGACGGUUCGCCGUCUGUUGGCUGCGGGAAGUUCGUUAAACCUUAUCAUUUAGAUGAAGGAGAAGUCGUAACA
rnacentral:rRNA from 1 species